UUACAGAGCUCUUCGCCCUCCACCUCUGUGUGAAUCAUUUCAACUCCUAAUGCGAGUCUUAAAAGUAAUACUCAUCUGGUGCUGUUUCUUUAAUCAAAACACAUUUCCGACUGGGAGAACUGGACACAGACAGGACCACAGAAGACUGGAGACGUCUCGCUUCUUUUACUUUCAGUUGCUCUUGAUAAUUGACUUCAGGGAGUGAAUCAAAGUGGAUUCAGCGUCUCAGGCCCACGCGCGCACCGGAAACGGCUAAAGAUGACCUUAAAGUCAACGUGAAAUCAAAAUGCAUUCGUUUUAUGGCCGUCCGAGAUGUCCGAGAUUGAUUCAGACUUGGAGAAAUGUAGCAUUGCAUCAGUGUCUCGGUAAUGGAUGUGAAUGGGUGCCGUCAGAUUGAGCGGCCAGACAGCUGAUAAAAACGUCUCAAUAAUCCACAGUUAACAUCUGGAGAAGACAUCCAGCAUAAAGACUGUUUUAAGUCCUUAAUCCGUAAAAAAUCCAGCCGUGUUUUGGCUUGACCUCUGCAGAUUUCUCUCCUGAUUCAGAAGAGACGACUUUUUCUCCAGAUGUUAACUGAUGGACCGGAGUGCUGUGGAUCACUGCGCUUAUUUAUCAGCUGUUUGGACUGUCUUUCUGACGGCACCCAUUCACUGCAGAGCAUCCGUUGAUGAGACACGUUUCUCCGAACCAAACCAAACUUGGAUGAUCAUUUUGUGCGAACUAUUCCUUGAAUGCAGUUUACCUGUGCGUGAAUAUUUGCUGUACUUUAUACCAAAGAAUACGCAACGGCUUCCCUCACCUCUGAAAUGACUUCCGGCCGGAAAUGAUACGAUAUAAAGUGUUUAAAGGACUACCGGGGGGAACCUGAGAUUCGAUGUUGACUUUAAGCUCAGCGUGAACUUUCGCUCACUUGGAUCUUCAGACUCGAGCAAAGGCGGAUCGGAUCCAAACCAAAGACACGUUUUGCGAAGAUUACGCCAAACGCAAACUCGAUAUUAAAAGUAGCAAAACUGCGUCGGUGCAACUUAUUUCGAGUGAUAUACGAGUUAACGGCUUCAACGCAUUUUGUACAUCGAACCCCGACUGUUUUUGGCCGAGGACACAUCUGGUAUUUCGGCCCAUCUCCAUCUCGGAGCAUUGAGGAAAAGGGAAGGUUUUCUUCUCCGCUCUCUGAGUUUAGUUAAGCGCCAGCUGUCUUUUAUUGGCCCGGCCGAUCCCGGAGCCAAAUCCAGACCUGCGUUUCAAAAGAGAGCUGCUACGGAUGGCGUGUUUUAUGCUUUAUGAGUUAUGUAAUUACUUAACUCCGCCCUCAGCUUUUCCAUUAGCCAGAUUCUGCACAGUCUUAAAGAGUAUUAGAUGCUGGAACGCUAAUCUACUCAAAGGUUCAACCGCGUAAAAACUGACUCCAGCAACUGUAAUCCACUUUUGAAUUUAUGAGGUCUGACUCUGGAAAAUCAUCCUUUAUAAGCUCUGUUUGUACUUCAACUCAUCUGUCUUGUUGCAUAUUUUAGAUGGUGGAAACUCUGCGCUUCUGAGCUUGUCUUCUGCCGAUCAAACAACAGCCAAAGUUUAGUUUUUGCUCGCUCUGAAGAGGUUUUAUGCUGUCCGGCGGCGUACUGAGCUUGACGCGCUGGUGGUUUUUAAAAGUGUGUUCUGUACAAGUUAGGAUCGGUUGGCAGCAUUUGUGGCGUAGCGUUUGAUUAGCGCUUAGCGCUUAGCGAUAUCUGAUUACAGCUUACAGCGAGAAGUGAAUGGGGGCCGUUUUUAAAAAGUUCAUUGUUUUAUACAAGCAUUUUUAUCGUUAAAAGGUGCUAAGUUAGAGCGGUAUGGCUGGAUAAAUCACUCACAGAUAGAGAGACGGUUAUGAUAUUCUGGAGAAACACAAAAGACACAUUGAGCGGCAGCUGUAUUAUAAAUGUAUGGAAGCUUAUUUCCACCGCAAGGAUGUUAUUCAGGACAAAAAACUAAAUACCAAUCAUUUAAUAACAUUGUUAUAGUUAUUUAUUGUAAUAAUAAUGUUGAAAAUGUCAAAAAGAGAGGAAACUAUUGUCGAAAUUAUGAAAUGAAAGUGAAAUUAAGAGAUACUGAGUCGUAGUUAUGAGGCAGAAAAAUAAAUAAAUCACGACAAGCUGAAAUUAAGAUAACGAUAUAAAAUUUAAAAUGAUAACUCUAAGAGGUAAGAGUUUUUUUUUUUUUACAAAAUUGGCAAAAUUUACUUCCAUCAUAAGUCCCUGGAGAAAAAGAAGUGGUAUCAUUUUUAGCAAUUUGGAAAUGGGCUCAUUCUCCAACUCCCCCAGAGAAAAUAAGUUGAGUUUUACCGUUUUUAAUCCGUUCAGACGAUCUCCGGGUUUAGUGAUAGCACUUUUAGCGUAGCUUAGCAUAGAUCAUUGAAUCCAAUUAGACCAUUAGCAUCGUGUUCAAAAAUGACCAAAGAGUUUUGUUAUUUAUUAACUUGGAGAAUAAGUCUAUUUUCAAAACAAGAUGGAGUGUUUCUAUAUAUAUAUAUAUAUAUAUAUAUAUAUAUAUAUAUAUAUAUAUAUAUAUAUAUAUACAGACAGAGAGAGGGAGAGAGUUUUUUUUAAUAAAAGGGACAGACACAUUGAAAUGGUCAACAUUGUGAUAUACUACAUUAUAAUAGUGAGAUAAAAAAGUAUGUAAAAUAAUCAGAAUUAUGAGACACUAAGUAGAAAUCAUGUUAAAAAAAUAAAUAAAAGUAAGUGAUAUCAUUGCUCAUGAGAUAAAAAGUCAAAGUAUACUUCUUUUUUUUUAAGAAAAUGGACAGAGCCAUUGAAAAAGCUUUCUGUGCUAAAGGACACUACGCCACAUGUCUGUCGACUGACCUUGACUCGUACUCUGAAUAUCCCUUCAAUAGUAGUAACACCAUAUAAAUACAGAUUAUCCUCCUUAGAGAACAAAAAAGUCUCAAAGAAACUUGGAAAACCGAGGAGAACAAUAACACCUCACACCGAGUGCAGCUGAGCGACAGAAACGGGAAGCUGCGCAGUUUCUUCAAUUAUUGAGCAGUUCAGAGGACAGAGCGGAGCGCGGGACCGGCCCCGAACCUGUGCGAGUGUGCGAGGAAUGCACUGUAUCUACAGCAAAGCCACAUUCGGGCCAAAAAUACUCUCGGCGGCGGGGCGUGUGCGAUCCAGCUCGCUCCCAAACCACAAAUACCUUGGCCUGAUUCACGCUUUUGAUUGUAAACAGGAGCGUGCGCCGGAGAAACAAGCCGUCUUUAUAAGCCUCCUCGACUAUUAAUGUUUACAUUUUUGAACGCUUUAGAUCGCAUGCUCCUUUUUGACUUUGUAACGGUCUCAUUGUCUUUGUGGGAAUAUUAAAUGAACGGAACCGA